rnacentral:rRNA from 1 species
CCUACGGGAGGCAGCAGUGGGGAAUAUUGGGCAAUGGGCGAAAGCCUGACCCAGCAACGCCGCGUGAAGGAAGAAGGCUUUCGGGUUGUAAACUUCUUUUGACAGGGAAGAGCAGCAGACGGUACCUGUCGCAUAAGCCACGGCUAACUCCGUGCCAGCAGCCGCGGUAAUACGGGGGGUGCAAGCGUUGUCCGGAAUCAUUGGGCGUAAAGCGUUCGUAGGCGGGAUGCCAAGUCAGCGGUAAAAAUGCGGUGCUCAACGCCGUCGAGCCGUUGAAACUGGCGUUCUUGAGUGGGCGAGAAGUAUGCGGAAUGCGUGGUGUAGCGGUGAAAUGCAUAGAUAUCACGCAGAACUCCGAUUGCGAAGGCAGCAUACCGGCGCCCGACUGACGCUGAGGCACGAAAGCGUGGGUAUCGAACAGGAUUAGAUACCCCAGUAGUC